ACAGUCAUUGUUUCCAGACCAGCCGAGCCAACUGGGGAGGAGAGGCCAGGCCCAGGGAGAGCAGUAAGAGGCCCAGCUUGCAACACAGGCCCCUGGCGGCUGGGGUCGGCUCAUGGGUUGCUGGGGGGCAGCUGGUGCCAGGUGCCAGCCCUGCUAGACAUGUCCAGGGUCGGGGCAGAGGUCAGGGUGGCUCACAUCCACAAUGAGGCUCCAGGAAGAGGCUCCAGAGGGCCCAGGUCCCUGGAGGAGGACAGAGUAUGGAUUAUCCAUCUCAAGGACCUGGGCAGCUUCUGGAAGUGGCUGAGACUGGAAGAAUGUUGUCACACCUACCAGAUAUCCCUACGUGUAUCUCUACCAGCCCCACUACAUAUUCUGAAGAACCAAGGUGCAACAGGAACCUAGGGCCUCAAGAGCCCAGGUGCUCAGGAGGGGGCAGCAUGACUCCAGGGCUCGGAAGGAGCCCCUCAGGGGAACCUCAAGAGUGCUGCCUGAGCAACUCUCAUUACACAAAAACACAACUGCAAGAGGAUCCCCAGGCAUUCCCAUGAGAACACAGAUUCUGACAACCCCUCCAUCCCCACUUUGGUCUCCACCCCAGGACUCACAUCAUGGCAAAAAUCCAAGGGCAGAUUCUUGGGUAACUAAUGCUCUUUUACAGGGGGUCCCGGAUGAAGGGCAGGGGGAAAAUCUUGUCACUGUGGGGCUAGGGUAGAUGAACCCAGGAGUGAUUUGCCAAAUGUGCACAUACUCAAAUUAUUUUUCAGACAUUUUGGGUUUGGCAAAAUGCAUGUUGCUAAGCCCCCUUUCCUGACAGUGUUAUACCCACGUGAACUUCAAGGGAAAUUCAACAUGUAUGUUUCUGAUUCUCUUAGGCUUAUCUCAGCACAAUUAUUUAGCAAGAAUCACUUCGUGUCCAAGAAUCUUCCUGAACCCUUUCUUUUGUAAGACCCCUUAAACAAUUUUCCUUUUAACCAGGGAGUAUGUUUUGUCUGGAGUAAAUUGAACUGAAACCCC
rnacentral:lncRNA from 1 species